rnacentral:rRNA from 1 species
CUUACACAUGCAAGUCGAACGGCAGCACGGACUUCGGUCUGGUGGCGAGUGGCGAACGGGUGAGUAAUAUAUCGGAACAUACCCAGUAGUGGGGGAUAACUAUCCGAAAGGAUAGCUAAUACCGCAUACGAUCUGUGGAUGAAAGCAGGGGAUCUUCGGACCUUGUGCUAUUGGAAUGGCCGAUAUCUGAUUAGCUAGUUGGUAGGGUAAAAGCCUACCAAGGCGACGAUCAGUAGCUGGUCUGAGAGGACGACCAGCCACACUGGAACUGAGACACGGUCCAGACUCCUACGGGAGGCAGCAGUGGGGAAUUUUGGACAAUGGGGGCAACCCUGAUCCAGCAAUGCCGCGUGAGUGAAGAAGGCCCUCGGGUUGUAAAGCUCUUUUGUCAGGGAAGAAACGGAGUUCUCUAAUAUAGGAUUCUAAUGACGGUACCUGAAGAAUAAGCACCGGCUAACUACGUGCCAGCAGCCGCGGUAAUACGUAGGGCGCAAGCGUUAAUCGGAAUUACUGGGCGUAAAGCGUGCGCAGGCGGUUUUGUAAGUCUGAUGUGAAAUCCCCGGGCUCAACCUGGGAACUGCAUUGGAGACUGCAAGGCUAGAGUGUGUCAGAGGGGGGUAGAAUUCCACGUGUAGCAGUGAAAUGCGUAGAGAUGUGGAGGAAUACCGAUGGCGAAGGCAGCCCCCUGGGAUAACACUGACG